GUUAAGCGAGCGAGGGAUUGUUCCUAAAAUAAUACAACGAAUUGAGAAAACAAAAAAAAAUAAAAAAUAAAUAUAAAUUUUGUAACCUUUUGCCUAGACAGAGAGAGACAGUUGGCAUUAUAUUUGGGGCUUUUGGCUUUGGCUACAUAACUAAUAAAAUACAAUGACAUAACCUAGAUUUUAGAAAUUAUGGAAAAGCCUUAUAAAAUUUUUAAAAUAAUACUGACUUUCAUUAUUCUUUAAUUGUGGUUAGGGAUGGCAAGAUAGUGUUUGGAUCCGGAGAACUUCAUCUUCUAUACUCAAUACCUGAAACCUACCUCUGUCCUUAUACUAGUAUUCAAUACUCAAUAGGUACAAUUCAAAUCUCUCAAACCUAAGCUCAAUUGGGUGUCGAGUAACUCAAAUAUAUCCAAUAACCAAUUUUUUUAAAAAAAAAAAAGUAAUCAAAUUCGAAUCUUAAAAUAAAAAAAAGUGAAUUAUAAAUUUGAUUGUAAAAAGUAGGGCGUUGUCAAAAAAAAAAUCUAAAAACGAUGAUUUGUGAUUGACAGACCGAAACCUGACCGAACCGUGUGCCAUUUUUGAUUGAUUAUAGUUUUAAGGAUUAUUUCGUUUUUAAAAAUUAAGAACUGGUGUUAAAUUGGUUCGAUUACUGAUUUUUUUUUUCAAAUCGUGGUUCGAAAGAACUGGAACUGAAUUAUAAUAUAGAACUAUAUAUAUAUGUUCUAUAUUAUAAAUCAGGACUUGAUUUGAAUUCCAAAAUAUAUCUCUCGCCUAUCUAUGUAUCAUAUUCAUUUGAGUUGAUCCAACGAAUCAGAUGAUUCACCUCAAAGUAGUUUGUCCUACCAAAAAAACAUUACUUUCUUAUCCAACGGCUAAGAUCGAUUUGAUUAUAAACAAACGGUUCAGAUUUCCUUCCUUUUACACGGUGUGAUGGCUGUGAUGGUUGUGAUUGACUGCUCUGAGGAUUACGGCGAUGUCUUCACCAUCCCCGAAUCCAUCACAGCCAUCUCUCCUCCCAAAUCAACCCAUCUCUCUCUCUCACGCAA
rnacentral:lncRNA from 1 species